GACGAACGCUGGCGGCGCGCUUAACACAUGCAAGUCGAACGGAAAGGCCUGCUUUCCCUUGUGGAUUGCGGGUACUCGAGUGGCGAACGGGUGAGUAACACGUGAGUGAUCUGCCCCCAACUUGGGUAUAAGCCUGGGAAACUGGGUCUAAUUCCCGAUAGGACUGCAGGGUAGUGCCUGUGGUGGAAAACGAUUUUCUAGUGGUUGGGGAUGAGCUCGCGGCCUAUCAGCUUGUUGGUGGGGUAAUGGCCUACCAAGGCGGCGACGGGUAGCCGGCCUGAGAGGGUGGACGGCCACAUUGGGACUGAGAUACGGCCCAGACUCCUACGGGAGGCAGCAGUGGGGAAUAUUGCACAAUGGGCGGAAGCCUGAUGCAGCGACGCCGCGUGGGGGAUGACGGCCUUCGGGUUGUAAACUCCUUUCGACCGCGAGGAAGCCACCUGGUUGGAAGGGUGGUGACGGUAGUGGUAGAAGAAGCACCGGCUAACUACGUG
rnacentral:rRNA from 1 species